rnacentral:lncRNA from 1 species
CCUAUCAGGGUGGAACCUCUUUCUGAGACAGAAAUAGACCUCGAUCGUAUCGUAAUUACGGAAAUGCAACUAGUUUGAAUUUUCCAGGUGGUGAAAACUGGUGACUCUUUACGAUACUGCUAGCACUCCCAUUGGACUCACUGUAGCUGACCCGAUUAAGCAAACACUCCAACUUAGCCCAAAAUAUUCUUACCCCCACAAUUUUAUAUUUAUCUUUCUUACCGUUAAAUUUUCCUCUCCUCACCCCACCCACUUUCUUUUUCCUCUCUCACUAUGACAACCACAAGGACACACUUUCCCCUUCCUCCCUCAUUACUUUUUUGGUCUUCCUUGUGUUCUAUGUAUCAUUUUUCCUUUCCCA